CUCCUUUAAGGGUCCCCCUCACUCCUUCAAAUGGGGAGGAGGCCAAAACAUCACUGAACCUGGAGGCUGGCUGGAGGGGCUAAGAUUCUAUGAAUUGCAAGAGAAGCUGGCAUCCUAGUCUGUGAAGGGAAGAUCCUAUGACUACCUACCUGGGCUACUCUUGCCCCACCAACAGAGGGCCUAAACAGGUUGACAAUUCCUUUUCAAAGAUUGAAAAGUCUGAAGUCUCUCCCUCUACUUAUGUAACUCGUAUGGAACUCACUUACUUAAAAAGAAUCUCUCAUUUUUUCUACCUUCCUGAUGUGGAAAUAUCCCUCAGCUUUUCAAAAUGAAGGCUGCCAAGUUCAAGGUAGGAUUUUCCAAUGCAACACAAAUUGACUAUUUACAAUGUUUGUUUGUUUUUCAAUUAAAAUGUUAGGGUUUUUUGUUGUUUUUGUUUUUUUUAAAAGGAGCACCAGGGAAUUGAUCCUCAGAAGAAGUAAAUCUAUGGUGACUGAAUUUCCCAUGAAGUUCUGCAAAAUUUACUCAGACACUUCCAACUGUUGCCCCUGUGAACCAGUUGCAUAAUUAUUUCUUGAAAAUAACAUAUAAAAAGGACUCAAAACCAUCACAACACUCCUCACAAUCAGAUUUUUACCUGCCUAUAUUCUGUUCACCAAUAGCGUGUUGGCAAUGCAUUUAUUUUUGCACAUGCUGCAGGCUGUCUGUAUUUCUUUGCUUCUGCAUUCAAAUUAAGCAUGUUAAAAACAGGCCAUUUUAAAGCUGCUAAUGGUAUUUAGAGGAGCUUGCAGAAACCCAUGCAAAGACUGAGAAAAAAAAACUUACAGAAAGAGGCCUCAUUGUAAGAAAUAAGACACUAAUGAAACUUUCCAUAUUUUAGAGAUGCCUAAUAUUGUUACCGGAAUCCUUAUAAUAGAACAAACAUUUUCUGUUUCUAUUACUCACAAAAAUUAGGCUGAACUGUGGUUUUCUCUCUGCGCAGAGUUUUCAGUGUACAAGGGGAGCUACUGUAUAACAAUGGCUGAGAACUACAGUCUGUAGCAUAAUUCAUUCGGUAACAUGGAACUCUUCAUUAUUAAAAACCUCUCAAAUUCUAUACAAACACUGUAUAAAAAGGAUGUAAAACAGAAGUACAUGCACAGAAAUAUAGCUAUCUACUAAACUACAGUUCAAGAUCCUUUUCCACUCUCACCUUCUUGCACAGCCACCUCGGGCUCACUUUUCUGUGAGAAGGUCAGUGCCUCCACUGGCUCUUCCUUUGCUGGGAGAGGUGGAGGAGAAGUACCUUUAGCAACAGGUUGAGUAAUCUGGGUCUUGCCAAUGACAGGUGGCUGUACUCUAACUGCAGGGUGAUGAUAUAGCUUGUUUCUAUGAGAGCCAGAAACCGUAUAACCCAUUCCACCAGGGCAGAUUUCCUUAAAAGCAGCUAGAUUUGGGAUGGGAAAAUAUUCCUUUUAAGAGUCUAAAAGUGCAAUAUUUUGACACAAUGGAAAAUAUAAUGAACAAAAAUUAACUCUGCUACUGUAUGUACAUUUUAACAACAAAAUAUGCUAUAGUUAAGAACAAACAUUAUUGCAUGCUAAUGUUGAAUACCUCUGAAAAAUUACUUUAGGAUUUAAUUCAUUCCUCUAUAAAAGGCUUUUCCUCCAGUUUAUUAUUUUUUUCUUCAGCUGUGUUAAAUAUGCCUCUUCAUCUGAACCAUUUUUAAUUAAUCUAAUUCAAAUAGUAUGUUAUUUCUGAGGUGACUUUUCAUCUGAAACUUGUCAUUGUUUAUAGAGCAUAAGUAACUAGGAUUUAUUAUUUCUAUAGUUCCCUUUUUGAAGUUGCCAAAGAAUAAAAAGUAGCUUCUCACUACCACUGAACCAGAGACAUUAAACUGAAAAAUCUUGAUUUAUAACAUUUAUUUAAGCGAUAUGAAUCAACUACACUAGAAACCGGACAUAGUCCUUGAUCUAGAGCCCACUGAACUCAACAUGAGUGAGUCUUUCCAUAGACGUCAGUUGGCUUUGGAUAAUGCCCAUAAUGAAUGUUAAAAUUCUAGUGAAACAAUGAUAUACUUCAUAGGUCCUAACAUGGAGUUACCUGGUUUAUAAAUCAGUCUCUCAGAAUAAGUGAAAUUGAAUGAAAUUUAACCCUGGAAAAGAUUAUUUCAGUGAAAUACUAACAUCUCCUACAAUUUGAAAAGUUCUGCUGGAUACUAUCUAAUUGCUGGGGAGGAGACCACUGAAAAAAGUGUUACCAGCAAAAGCAUAUUUUAGACUGGGGUUUUUAAGAGAGUCAUGUGUAGCAAUCUGACUUUAAAAACAGUGUUAUUAGAAAAGUAAACAUUUUAAAAAUAGGCAAUGGCUAUAAUUUACAUGAAAAAUAUCUCAUUUUAAAAAUUAUUUUGUCAUAUAUUAAUCUUUAAAUGAAAGAUAAAAAAUGUUUCAGUAACUCAAAUGUGAUAUUAAUAAAUGAUUUAAAGGAAA